UACAGGGGCCCCAAGCGUUACUGAGAAUCACUGGGUUUAAAGGGUGCGUAGGCGGCCCGGUAAGUCCGCUCUGAAAGUCCAGGGCUCAACCCUGGAAAGCGGGUGGAUACUGCCGGGCUAGAAUCCGGAAGAGGCGAGUGGAAUUCCUGGUGUAGCGGUGGAAUGCGCAGAUAUCAGGAGGAACACCAAUAGCGAAGGCAGCUCGCUGGGACGGUAUUGACGCUGAGGCGCGAAAGCGUGGGGAGCAAACAGG
rnacentral:rRNA from 1 species